rnacentral:rRNA from 1 species
UUGGGAAUCUUGCACAAUGGGGGCAACCCUGAUGCAGCGACGCCGCGUGGAGGACGAAGGAUCUAGGUCUGUAAACUCCUUUUGCCAGGAAAGACUUAGGACGGUACCUGGCGAAUAAGCUCCGGCUAACUACGUG